GUAUUAGGAUCACUUUUCAUUUAGUAUUCUUUCUCUCUCCUUUAGUUAUAGAUUUAUGCGAUUAAGUUCCAUAAGAUCUCUCCUUCUGAAAUUUUCUUUCUCCCCCUCAAUUAAUCAUUCCAUUUAAGAGUUUAGAAUUUGAAGAUAAUGUUCAAUAAAAUUGUCAAUCUCGAAAAUAUAUUUUCUAUAAGUUUCAGCUUAUUUUCAUAAGACUCAAUGUUUGAGAUAAGACAACCUUUAUAGAACUCAUCUCAAGGUAUAAACUUAUUAUAUAAUUAAAGCAAGUCUUGCAAUAUAAGGAGGUUCAUCAAAAUCAAUUUAUAACGUAUAGAAGAUAUUUAUCAAAUGGACGUGAUAUUUUGCAUUUAGAUUGAAUAUCCAAAGCUCCCCCUUAAAAGAUGCAUUCUUCUUUAAUCAUUCUUUUCUUUGUUGAAUUUCAAAUUUUGA
rnacentral:lncRNA from 1 species